UACGUAGGGUGCAAGCGUUAAUCGGAAUUACUGGGCGUAAAGCGUGCGCAGGCGGUGAUGUAAGACCGAUGUGAAAUCCCCGGGCUUAACCUGGGAACUGCAUUGGUGACUGCAUCGCUAGAGUAUGGCAGAGGGGGGUGGAAUUCCACGUGUAGCAGUGAAAUGCGUAGAGAUGUGGAGGAACACCAAUGGCGAAGGCAGCCCCCUGGGCCAAUACUGACGCUCAUGCACGAAAGCGUGGGGAGCAAACAGG
rnacentral:rRNA from 1 species